ACAAACUUGGUCAUUUAGAGGAAGUAAAAGUCGUAACAAGGUUUCCGUAGGUGAACCUGCGGAAGGAUCAUUAAAAAAUAUAUAUAUUGAAUAUAUAUAUUUUGUGUGCAACUAUUGAAGGAAAAAAAAUAAUAAUAAAGAAUUCCUUUCUCUUUUCUUUUUUGAGAGAGAGAGAGGAAGGAUUUACUAUUUAUUUUUUUUAAAUUUACUAUUUUUCAAUUUGUUUAUAUAAUUUAAUAAAAUUAAAAGAACUUUCAACAAUGGAUCUCUUGGCUCUCGCAUCGAUGAAGAACGCAGC
rnacentral:misc_RNA from 1 species